UACGAAGGGGGCUAGCGUUGCUCGGAAUCACUGGGCGUAAAGCGCACGUAGGCGGAUUGUUAAGUCAAGGGUGAAAUCCUGGAGCUCAACUCCAGAACUGCCUUUGAUACUGGCGAUCUCGAGUCCGGGAGAGGUGAGUGGAACUGCGAGUGUAGCGGUGAAAUGCGUAGAUAUCGUAAGGAAGACCAGUGGCGAAGGCGGGUCUCUGGACAGUUCCUGACGCUGAGGCACGAAGGCCAGGGGAGCAAACGGG
rnacentral:rRNA from 1 species